ensembl:snRNA U6 U6 spliceosomal RNA
GUGCUCACUUUGGCAGCACAUAUACUAAAAUUGGAAUGAUACAGAGAAGAUUAGCACAACCCCUGCGCAAGGAUGACACAUAAAUUCAUGAAGCAUUCCAUAUUUAA